UACGAAGGGGGCUAGCGUUGUUCGGAAUUACUGGGCGUAAAGGGCGCGUAGGCGGUGUGUCAAGUCAGGCGUGAAAGCCCCGGGCUCAACCUGGGAACCGCGCUUGAGACUGGCACGCUCGAGUUCGGGAGAGGAUGGUGGAAUUCCGAGUGUAGAGGUGAAAUUCGUAGAUAUUCGGAAGAACACCAGUGGCGAAGGCGACUUACUGGACACAUAUUGACGCUGAGGUGACGAAAGCGUGGGGAGCAAACAGG
rnacentral:rRNA from 1 species